UACGUAGGGUGCAAGCGUUGUCCGGAAUUAUUGGGCGUAAAGAGCUCGUAGGCGGUCUGUUGCGUCGGCUGUGAAAACCCGAGGCUCAACCUCGGGCCUGCAGCCGAUACGGGCAGACUAGAGUUCGGCAGGGGAGACUGGAAUUCCUGGUGUAGCGGUGAAAUGCGUAGAUAUCAGGAGGAACACCUGCGGUGUAGACGGCUUACUGGACGGUAACUGACGCUGAGGCACGAAAGCGUGGGUAGCAAACAGG
rnacentral:rRNA from 1 species